CCCCACUUUUAAAAAUGUAUUAAUAAGGAUUUAUAUGUAAAUUGGGGGACCUAUAUGUAAAUAUAGAAAUUACAAGGACUAAACUGCUAAGUUGCAAAAAGAAAAAAAAAAGAAAAGGAAAAACCGAAAAUUCGGUAUUAUCCCACCGCCUCCCACGCACUCUGUUUCUUUCCAGAAACAGAGAGAGCGGUGGGGCGUGAGGAGAAGAAGGAGAGUGGUUGAAGAAAAGAAGAAGAAGAGGGAAAAGAAGAGAGGAGGAAGAAGAGAGGAAGAAGAGAGGAAGAAGAGGGAGAAGAGAAGAAUAUGAAGAAGAAGAAGAAGAGGAGGUGGCUGCAGCGAGGGCUGCAGCGAGAAGCUGUGGGGCGUGGGGAGAAGAAGAGAGGAAGAAGAGGGAGAAGAGAAGAAGAAGAAGAAGAAGCAGAAGAAGAAGAAGAAGAAGAAGAAGAAGAAGAGAGGAUGAUAGCUGCGGCAAGGCUGCAGCGAGGAGGUGUGUGGGGUUGGGGAGGAAAAGGGAAGAGGAGAAGAAAAGAAGGAGAAGAAGAGGGAAAAGAGAGGGAAGAGGGAGAGGAGCGAGAGGUGGCAGCAGCUAGGGCUGCAGCACCUCUGUUUCCUGCAGGUGGAAACAGAGGAGAGGUGGGGCGUUCGAAGAGGAGAAGAAGAAGAAGAAGGAAGAGAAGAGGAAGAGGAAGCAAGAGAAGAGGUUGUGAUACCUCUGUUUCCUGCAGAGGAAACAGAGGAGAGGGUGUGUGUGACGUCGGGGAGAAGAAGGGGAGGAAGGAGAAGAAGAGAAGAAGAAGAAAGGAAGGAGAGGAAGAAGAGAAGGGAAAGGAGGAGCUGCGGCUGCGGCGGUGGCAGCUACAGCUGGAAGAGAAGGAGAGGAAGAGAUGGUGAGGAAGAAGAGAAGAAGUAGAAGCGGGUGAAGAGGCGGCACCUCUGUUUCCUGCAGGAGGAAACAGAGGAAAGGAGGUGCUGUUCGUCGGGGAGAAGAAGGGGGCUGCAGCUGCGGCGAUGGCAGCUGCAGUUGGAAGAGAAGAAGAAGAGGAAGAUGAGCAGGGGAGGAGGGAGAGGUUGCGGCCGUGGCUGCGGCCGCGACUGCAGCAGUUGCAGCGGGGAGAGAAGAAGAAGAAAGGAAGGAGAAGGAAGAGGAGAAGGGAAAGAAGUAGCUGCGGCUGCGGUUGUGGCAGCUGCAGCUGUGGCAGGGAAAGAGGAAGAGAAAAAGGAAAGGAAGAAGAAGAGAAAGGGAAGGAGAGGAAGAAGAGAGGAAGAGGAGAAGGGGCUGCGGCUGCGGCGAUGGCAGCUGCAGCUGUGGCUGGGAAAGAAGAGAAGGAAAGAAAGAAGGAAUGAGAGUAAGAGAGAGCAGGUGACUGUGCCUCGAUGUUCGACACGUGAUGUAGUUACGAAGAAAGGAUGAAAACGGGAGCACAAAACGAAACAGAGAGAGGACACGGAGGAAAAGUAGAAAGAUUGGACUGGCACCUUCCUUGGAUAUUCAGAUCAAAAUAUUUGAAAGGCAAGUUCCCUGAUCGUUUCUCCUAUAAUUGCUCUGAUAUGUCUUAUUGCAAGUUCCCUGAUCAUUUAUCCUAUAAUUGCUCUGAUAUGUCUUAUUGCAAGUUCCCUGAUCGUUUCUCCUAUAAUUGCUCUGAUAUAUCUUAUUGCAAGUUCCCUGAUCGUUUCUCCUAUAAUUGCUCUGAUAUGUCUUAUUGCAAGUUCCCUGAUCGUUUCUCCUAUAAUUGCUCUGAUAUGUCUUAUUGCAAGUUCCCUGAUCGUUUCUCCUAUAGUUGCUCUGAUAUGUCUUAUUGCAAGUUCCCUGAUCGUUCCUCCUAUAAUUGCUCUAAUCUUUCCUAUUGCAAGUAUCUUGAUCGUUCCUCACUGCCAUUUUAUCUCUACAUUUGCUUUGAAUAUGAGGAACUAUGAAUUGUUCUAGCCUUGCAUUUGAUAUAUCUCCUGUUUAGACGUAACGUUUCGAAUAUGUGCAACUUCUGAUAUUCUGACCUUUUGAUACCGAGCUGCCUAUAAGUCUUUGUUGGAAACUCUGAUUUGUUCAAAACUGAUUUCAUUGGAAACUAGACUCGUAGACCUUUCUUUGAUAUAUGGAUUGAAAGAUUUGGAAUCCAAACACCUGUCCCGUUGUCUGUUGAAUCUGACAUUAUGAAUUCUGCCAACAGAGAUUUUGUUCUACGACACUUGCUUACCAAAUUAUUUGUAACUCUCUCUGUUGGACAGUUCAAUUCAUAAGAAGCCUGUCUUAUCUGAAAGUAUUAUCCAAUGAUUAUUUCUGAGUAAAUUUGAGCACGAUUGAUAGUUUGAAUCAUUUGUUCAAUGUGCCUUCUGUAUUCUGCCAGAAAUCGAGCUGUGGUCGAUUUCUCAUAUUCUGGUUUCAUUCCUUUGGAGAUUGAUAUCCUUUAGCUUUCUUAUUCAAUUGAGCUUUAUAUUACUGCUUUGAAUUCUUGUAUGCUCUUGUCCUUAAAAUUAUUGCAUUCUUGAAAACUGUUGUGUAACGUUUAUGCUAUAUCGUAUUUACUCAUAUAGGCACAUGUAUAUCCUAUUGUUCCGCAUUUGCUUUCGAUAUGUGCCUAUUCCAGUUUCAUUCCUUUGGACAUUGAAUUCAUCAAAUCUUCUUAUUGAAUUGAGGUAUAAGUGAUUGCUUGGAUUCCAUAUGUGCCCUUGCUUUCAAUUCCUUUCAAGUCUGAAUAUACUUGUGAAAGAUUAUUGCUUACUUCGGAUUGACUCGUAAAGGCACAUGUACGUUUGUUGUUCCGCGUGUGCUUCCGAUAUAUGCUACUUAUUGUUGAAACUGUCCUUUUGUACUCUGGUGUGUGGGAUUGUCUGGACCUUUGCCAGAAAUGGUAAAGGGUAUGCGCUAUUUGCCCGCUAUGUGGGGUCCCGCUAUGAGGGAUAUUCUGUAUGCGCUUGUUGCCCGCUACGUGGGUAUGUGAUUAGAGCCUGCGAUGCUCUGCCGGCCCCCUUUGACUUCACCUAGACGUGGGUGGAUGGAGCUCCCAAACGUGGGAGACUUUUGUCAGGUGGUCAUUCAGAAAUGGAUGAAUCACAUUCUGACUGAGAUCCCACUACACCCUCUAUGUGUUUGAUAUGACAUCCAGAGUUUUGGUGAGUUUGUUUCUGUUCAUACUCUGGAUAAGAUUGAUAUGAUUGCAACGUCAAGGACGACGUUUGAGCUCUUGUACGAUAUGUGUACCGAUAUGCUCUGAAAGGCUUCAUUCCCUGAUGAUUUUGUUUCGAAAUGUUCCAUAUGUCGUUGAUAUGCUUCGGAACAUUUUAUAUGCCAUUGAUAAGCUUGAUAUGUUUCCUUUGCUUCUGAUAUGCUCCAAUUACGCUGUGCUCCAUUUGCUAUGAACUGAUAUGUUCUUAUAUGUCCUAUUUGCCAUUGAUAUGCUCCAAUUACUCUGUGCUCCAUUUGCUAUGAACUGAUAUGUUCUGAAAUGUCCUAUCUACCAUUGAUAUGCUCUAAAUUACUCUGUGCUCCAUUUGCUAUGAGCUGAUUUGUUCUGAAAUGUCCUAUCUGCCAUUGAUAUGUUCCAAUUACUCUAUGCUCCAUUCGUUAUGGAUCAAAUAUGUUAUGAAUGACAUGAUACGUAUGAUUUGGUAUCUAUUGAGAUGGUAUCCUUGAGAAUUCUGGUAUUUUGCCUUGCAUUAUGAUACCUUACUCGUUUCAAACUGUUCCUUUUGUUCUGAAUAUGCUUUGUCACUUGCUGAGCCGUUUUUGGUUCACUCCGUUGUUAUAUAAACCUUUCAGGUCAACUUGUCACUUUUCGAGAUGUUUGAUUUGGGCUGAGGCAGUGGAUAGCUUUUCAGAAUUAUGGGCAAGUCCUGUUGGUUGUUAUGCUAUUGUUGUAUAAGCAUAUUUUGUAUAUAAUGAAUUGUUCUGAUGAUCGAAAUGGAUAUACUGUGUAAAAGUGUUAGAAGAUCUCUCUUAUUUGGAAUUUCGGAAUGUUAAGUCUAAUUUAUGACGAUAUGAACUUGUGGUGAAUAGUUGGAGUUCUGAUUGUAUAAUUUAUUUAGCUUGUGGAUUUAUAAAUGUUGUUCAUGUUUGUCAAGUUGGCUUGGGUUGCCAUAAAUGUGAAUUAUCGAGUGAUGUGAUAUAUGAUUAUAAACUGCACAGGUUUUAUGGAUGUGAAUAUGAAUAGAAUGUUUUCAGUGUCCUCAAACGUUAGUUUGGAUCCUGGAUUGGUCUGUGACGAAAAUUUUAAAAAUCAUGGAUAUUUUGAGGGGCGUGACAGAGGUGGUAUCAGAGCAUUGUUUGAGGAUUACUGAAAUAUUUGAUAUGUUGACGUGCAAAAUAUAUUGAGGUCUAAUGAACUAUAGUGAUUGGUGGAAAUUUUCUUUGAUGUAUUUUAGGAAUCUGGGAUGAUGAGGACAUUUGGUCCUCCUAUUUCAUUGUUUCUGAUUAAUUAAGGGGAAUGAAAUGAUUGAUUGGGGAUAUUGAAUCAGAGUGGCGCAGCGGAAGCAUGGUGGACCUAAUUUCAUUGGUGGUAGAAAAAUGGAUGAUGCAAAUGGAGAAGAUAUUUGAUAUACAAAAUUGUUCUAAUGAUCAAAAGAUUUCUUUUGCUACGUUAUAUUGGAAGUAAAGACUUAUUAUUGACGGCAACAAUGAAAAGAAUUUUUGAAGAUCAAUGGCAAGAAUGACAAGAACAAGUUUACCAAUAAAAAUAUGAUUGGAAAUGAAUCAGUAAGUAACAACAAGAGGAUCAAGACAUUUGGAUUUGAAAUUGGAGGUCAUCAUAAAAGACUCAAUCAUGUGUGAAUUAUAAGUUAAAUUAUGAAACAAAUUUGUGUUUUCGGAUGAUUGGAGUAUAUUUUGUUUGUAGAAAGUUGGAUCUUAAAAUAAAAGUUUGCCCUUUGAACAAGAAGAAAGAGUCACUGCCUCCUAAAUCAUCAGCCCAUGUCAGAGUGUAUGCUAUCACUGAAUAUGAUUCUAAGACUUCUGAAUUAGUGGUCGAAGGUAUUAUGUAUGUUUAUGAAAGAAUGCAAAUAUUUGUUUGAACAUGGGUUCUAUCUACGAUUUGAUUCGUAACAUAUUGCCUAUCACUUGGGUAUUCAACCUAGACCACUGUAUUAUGUGAUAUAUGUAAGUACAAUCAUUGGAGAUUCUUUGAUAACGAACUUGAAUCUGGUCCUCUUGUCUGAUUUUUGUUGGAGAACUUGAACUUUUGCUGAUUUAGUUCUCCUAGAGAUUUGGAGUUAUGAUAUUAUACUUGGUAUGCAUUGGCUAUCUUCUUAUCAUACCAGUAUGGAUUGGUAUAUAACAAAUGAUCACUUUUUGCAUAUUUGAUCAGCCGAUCUUUUAUUUUGAGAGUAUUGGACAUUAUUUAUCUCCUUGCCUAAUGUAUCCCAGGAUGACUUGCCUGGAUUACCUCCAAAUGUGAUUUUGCUUUUGAUUUGGUCCUUGGGACAAUCCCUAUAUCUAAGCCUCUCUGCAGAAUGAUAUCAUUUGAGUAAGUGGAAUUAGAAAAACAACUACAAGGAUUAUUAAAUGAGGAUUUUAUUUGGCUUAAUAUUUUAUCAUGGGGUGCUCUGGUGUUAGUUAAAAAGAUGGAUGGAACAUGGAGGCUUUGUAUUGAUUAUGGAUAGUUGAAUCAGGUGAUCAUCAAAAACGAGUAUUUUCUGAAGUAACGAUUUGCUUGAUUAAUUACAGGUGCGCAAGUAUUUUUGAAAGAUUGAUUGAAGGUCGGGUUUACCAUCUAUUGAGAAUCAAGAAGGAGAAUAUUUCGGUCACUCUUGGAAAAUUGUGUAAUUGUAUUGAAUUGAUGAAAUUAUUUAAGAGUAGGAGGAGGAAAUAAAGAAAUCAUAAUCCUCAUCUUUUCAUCGAUUGAGCUAUGACCAAUUUAGAGGACUAAAUUUUCUUUUAAAGGGGGGAGAGUGUAAUAUCCCCCACUUUUAAAAAUGUAUUAAUAAGGAUUUAUAUGUAAAUUGGGGGACCUAUAUGUAAAUAUAGAAAUUACAAGGACUAAACUGCUAAGUUGCAAAAAGAAAAAAAAAAAAAGAAAAGGAAAAACCGAAAAUUCGGUAUUAUCCCACCGCCUCCCACACACUCUGUUUCUUUCCAGAAACAGAGAGAGCGGUGGGGCGUGAGGAGAAGAAGGAGAGUGGUUGAAGAAAAGAAGAAGAAGAGGGAAAAGAAGAGAGGAGGAAGAAGAGAGGAAGAAGAGAGGAAGAAGAGGGAGAAGAGAAGAAGAUGAAGAAGAAGAAGAAGAGGAGGUGGCUGCAGCGAGGGCUGCAGCGAGAAGCUGUGGGGCGUGGGGAGAAGAAGAGAGGAAGAAGAGGGAGAAGAGAAGAAGAAGAAGAAGAAGCAGAAGAAGAAGAAGAAGAAGAGAGGAUGAUAGCUGCGGCAAGGCUGCAGCGAGGAGGUGUGUGGGGUUGGGGAGGAAAAGGGAAGAGGAGAAGAAAAGAAGGAGAAGAAGAGGGAAAAGAGAGGGAAGAGGGAGAGGAGCGAGAGGUGGCAGCAGCUAGGGCUGCAGCACCUCUAUUUCCUGCAGGUGGAAACAGAGGAGAGGUGGGGUGUUCGAAGAGGAGAAGAAGAAGAAGAAGGAAGAGAAGAGGAAGAGGAAGCAGGAGAAGAGGUUGUGAUACCUCUGUUUCCUGCAGAGGAAACAGAGGAGAGGGUGUGUGUGACGUCGGGGCGAAGAAGGGGAGGAAGGAGAAGAAGAGAAGAAGAAGAAAGGAAGGAGAGGAAGAAGAGAAGGGAAAGGAGGAGCUGCGGCUGCGGCGGUGGCAGCUGCAGCUGGAAGAGAAGGAGAGGAAGAGAUGGUGAGGAAGAAGAGAAGAAGUAGAAGCGGGUGAAGAGGAGGCACCUCUGUUUCCUAUAGGAGGAAACAGAGGAAAGGAGGUGCUGUUCGUCGGGGAGAAGAAGGGGGCUGCAGCUGCGGCGAUGGCAGCUGCAGCUGGAAGAGAAGAAGAAGAGGAAGAUGAGCAGGGGAGGAGGGAGAGGUUGCGGCCGUGGCUGCGGCCGCGACUGCAGCAGUUGCAGCGGGGAGAGAAGAAGAAGAAAGGAAGGAGAAGGAAGAGGAGAAGGGAAAGAAGUAGCUGCGGCUGCGGUUGUGGCAGCUGCAGCUGUGGCAGGGAAAGAGGAAGAGAAAAAGGAAAGGAAGAAGAAGAGAAAGGGAAGGAGAGGAAGAAGAGAGGAAGAGGAGAAGGGGCUGCGGCUGCGGCGAUGGCAGCUGCAGCUGUGGCUGGGAAAGAAGAGAAGGAAAGAAAGAAGGAAUGAGAGUAAGAGAGAGCAGGUGACUGUGCCUCGAUGUUCGACACGUGAUGUAGUUACGAAGAAAGGAAGAAAACGGGAGCACAAAACGAAACAGAGAGAGGACACGGAGGAAAAGUAGAAAGAUUGGACUGGCACCUUCCUUAGAUAUUCAGAUCAAAAUAUUUGAAAGGUCAGCUUGUCACUCUUCGAGAUGUUUGAUUUGGGCUGAGGCAGUGGAUAGCUAUUCAGAAUUAUGGGCAAGUCCUGUUGGUUGUUAUGCUAUUGUUGUAUAAGCAUAUUUUGUAUAUAAUGAAUUGUUCUGAUGAUCGAAAUGGAUAUACUGUGUAAAAGUGUUAGAAGAUCUCUCUUAUUUGGAAUUUCGGAAUGUUAAGUCUAAUUUAUGACGAUAUGAACUUGUGGUGAAUAGUUGGAGUUCUGAUUGUAUAAUUUAUUUAGCUUGUGGAUUUAUAAAUGUUGUUCAUGUUUGUCAA